rnacentral:rRNA from 1 species
UAGCGCGUGAGGAACCUGCCUCAAAGAGGGGGACAACAGUUGGAAACGACUGCUAAUACCGCAUAAGCCCACGGUGCCGCAUGGCACAGAGGGAAAAGGAGCAAUCCGCUUUGAGAUGGCCUCGCGUCCGAUUAGCUAGUUGGUGAGGUAACGGCCCACCAAGGCAACGAUCGGUAGCCGGACUGAGAAGUUGAACGGCCACAUUGGGACUGAGACACGGCCCAGACUCCUACGGGAGGCAGCAGUGGGGAAUAUUGCACAAUGGGGGAAACCCUGAUGCAGCGACGCCGCGUGGAGGAAGAAGGUCUUCGGAUUGUAAACUCCUGUUGUUGGGGAAGAUAAUGACGGUACCCAACAAGGAAGUGACGGCUAACUACGUGCCAGCAGCCGCGGUAAAACGUAGGUCACAAGCGUUGUCCGGAAUUACUGGGUGUAAAGGGAGCGCAGGCGGGAAGACAAGUUGGAAGUGAAAUCUAUGGGCUCAACCCAUAAACUGCUUUCAAAACUGUUUUUCUUGAGUAGUGCAGAGGUAGGCGGAAUUCCCGGUGUAGCGGUGGAAUGCGUAGAUAUCGGGAGGAACACCAGUGGCGAAGGCGGCCUACUGGGCACCAACUGACGCUGAGGCUCGAAAGUGUGGGUAGCAAACAGGAUUAGAUACCCUGGUAGUCCACACCGUAAACGAUGAUUACUAGGUGU